rnacentral:rRNA from 1 species
UGGGGAAUUUUGCGCAAUGGGGGAAACCCUGACGCAGCAACGCCGCGUGGAGGAUGAAGUAUCUUGGUACGUAAACUCCUUUCGAUUGGGAAGAUAAUGACGGUACCAAUAGAAGAAGCCCCGGCUAACUUCGUGCCAGCAGCCGCGGUAAUACGAGGGGGGCAAGCGUUGUUCGGAUUUAUUGGGCGUAAAGGGUGCGUAGGCGGUUUGGCAAGUCUCAUGUGAAAUCUAUGGGCUCAACCCAUAGUCUGCAUGAGAAACUGCCGGGCUUGAGUAUUGGAGAGGUGAGUGGAAUUUCCGGUGUAGCGGUGAAAUGCGUAGAUAUCGGAAGGAACACCUGUGGCGAAAGCGGCUCACUGGACAAUAACUGACGCUGAGGCACGAAAGCUAGGGGAGCAAACAGGAUUAGAUACCCCCGUAGUCC